rnacentral:ribozyme from 14 species
CACAAAACAGAAAAAUAAAAAGAAAAGAAGAAAGAAUGGAAAUACAAACAUACAUAACAUCACAAGAUUCG